rnacentral:rRNA from 1 species
GAUGAACGCUGGCGGCGUGCUUAACACAUGCAAGUCGAACGGAAAGGCCAGUGCUUGCACUGGUACUCGAGUGGCGAACGGGUGAGUAACACGUGGGUGAUCUUCCCUGCACUUCGGGAUAAGCCUGGGAAACUGGGUCUAAUACCGGAUAGGACAAUGGUUUGGAUGCCGUUGUGGAAAGUUUUUUCGGUGUGGGGUGUGCUCUCGGCCUGUCAGCUUGUUGGUGGGGUAUUGGCCUACCAAGGCGUCGACGUGGAUCCGGCGUGAGAGGGUGUACGGCGACAUUGGGAGUGAGAUACAGGCCAGAGUCCUACAGGAGGGAGAAGGGGGGAAUAUUGGACAAAGGGGGCAAGCGUGAGGCAGAGAAGCCGCGUGGGGGAUAAGGGCGUUUGGGUGGUAAAAACCGUUCGCUAGGGACAAAGAGUAUGUGUGACGGUACCUGGAGAAGAAGCACCGGCUAACUACGUG